rnacentral:rRNA from 1 species
UACGGGGGGGGGCAAGCGUUGUUCGGAAUUACUGGGCGUAAAGGGCGCGUAGGCGGCCUUCUAAGUCAGAUGUGAAAUCCUACGGCUCAACCGUGGAACUGCAUCUGAUACUGGAGGACUUGAGGACGGUAGAGGUCGGUGGAAUCCCCGGUGUACCGGUGAAAUGGGCAGAUAUCGGGGGGAACACCGAGUGGCGAAGGCGGCCGACUGGGCCGAUCCUGACGCUGAGACCCGAAAGCUAGGGUAGCGAACCGG